AUGAUCACGUUACUAAUUUAUGUUUUUUCCGGUCUGACUUGAUGAUUCUCGAUAGCUAUAUCAUUAAUUCUUUAAACUGACACUUAACAUUAAUAUUACAGAUUGUUGGAAUCUUGGUUGGUGUAGUUUCAUUGCCAAGAAAACUGAUGAUUGGAAAUGAAGCUCCACUACACGUGAUUCAGAGCUCUGCAUCUCUGUUAGGAGAAGCUACAAUACCAGCCAUAACAUUGAUAGUUGGAGCAAAUCUUCUUAGAGGUCAUAAAAAAUCAGCAGCAGGAAUGUGGGUUGUAAUAGGAGUUCAGGUAGUGAGGUGUGUGGCCUUGCCAUUAUCUGGCAUUGUUGUUGUCAAGGUUGCAAGCCAUUUUG